GGAGAGGUGUCCGAGUGGUUGAUGGUGCGGCUCUCGAAAAGCCGUGUGCAGGGUAAACUGCACCGUGGGUUCGAAUCCCACCCUCUCCG
rnacentral:tRNA from 1 species